ensembl:snRNA U1 U1 spliceosomal RNA
AUACUUUCCUGGCACGGAGACACCAGGAUCUCUAAGGUGGUUUUCUCAGGGUGAGGCCGAUUCACUCCCCUGGGUAUUGGCUGAUCCUGUGAUUUGCUGAUGUGACAAAAUUCCACUGAGUGAUUUGUGCUGGAGGUGGGCUUCCGUGAGCUAUUU